GACGAACGCUGGCGGCGUGCCUAAUACAUGCAAGUAGAACGCUGAAGGAGGAGCUUGCUUCUCUGGAUGAGUUGCGAACGGGUGAGUAACGCGUAGGUAACCUGCCUGGUAGCGGGGGAUAACUAUUGGAAACGAUAGCUAAUACCGCAUAAGAGUAGAUGUCGCAUGACAUUUGCUUAAAAGGUGCAAUUGCAUCACUACCGGAUGGACCUGCGUUGUAUUAGCUAGUUGGUGAGGUAACGGCUCACCAAGGCAACGAUACAUAGCCGACCUGAGAGGGUGAUCGGCCACACUGGGACUGAGACACGGCCCAGACUCCUACGGGAGGCAGCAGUAGGGAAUCUUCGGCAAUGGACGGAAGUCUGACCGAGCAACGCCGCGUGAGUGAAGAAGGUUUUCGGAUCGUAAAGCUCUGUUGUAAGAGAAGAACGAGUGUGAGAGUGGAAAGUUCACACUGUGACGGUAUCUUACCAGAAAGGGACGGCUAACUACGUG
rnacentral:rRNA from 1 species